CAGCCGCCGCGGUAAUACGAAGGGUGCAAGCGUUAAUCGGAAUUACUGGGCGUAAAGCGUGCGCAGGCGGUUUGUUAAGACAGAUGUGAAAUCCCCGGGCUCAACCUGGGAACUGCAUUUGUGACUGGCAGGCUAGAGUAUGGCAGAGGGGGGUGGAAUUCCGCGUGUAGCAGUGAAAUGCGUAGAUAUGCGGAGGAACACCGAUGGCGAAGGCAGCCCCCUGGGCCAAUACUGACGCUCAUGCACGAAAGCGUGGGGGGCAAACAGGAUUAGAUACCCCCGUAGUCCCUGUCUCUUAUAC
rnacentral:rRNA from 1 species